GAAUUGAUAGGGGGAUACCACCGCCCCGGUGAGCGCACUGACGAUUUCCUCAAUCGCCUGCCUCCCCACAGGGGACGUGCAGAGGUGUUCCGGGGGUGCCAAUGCGGUCACGGCCUGUUGCCCGAGCUCUUCUUCCCAACUUGCCGGGACGAGCGGCGUGGCCAGCCCGGCGAGCGUGGGGAUCCCCCAUCGCGCUAGGAGCACGAUGAUCACGAUGACGGUG
rnacentral:misc_RNA from 1 species